CCUCUGGUAGCUCAGUUGGUAGAGCGGUGGACUGUAGAUCCAUAGGUCGCUGGUUCAAAUCCGGCCCGGAGGG
rnacentral:tRNA from 1 species